UACGUAGGGGGCUAGCGUUGUCCGGAAUCAUUGGGCGUAAAGCGCGUGUAGGCGGCCCGGUAAGUCCGCUGUGAAAGUCGGGGGGCUCAACCCUCGAAUGCCGGUGGAUACUGUCGGGCUAGAGUACGGAAGAGGCGAGUGGAAUUCCUGGUGUAGCGGUGAAAUGCGCAGAUAUCAGGAGGAACACCCAUUGCGAAGGCAGCUCGCUGGGACGUUACUGACGCUGAGACGCGAAAGCGUGGGGAGCAAACAGG
rnacentral:rRNA from 1 species